UCUCUUUUAAGUUUCAUCAAGGCACUGAAAGGUUUAGCAGUCCCUGCCAAAGUGGGAUGGAAGGUGGCUUUAAAGGGAGGAAGCGUGGAGACGGAGCAGUCCAAAGACUUUGCCUCUUGUUCGGCUGCAGCCACCCCAACCGUGGAGCUCUGAGCACACCACCCAAUCUCCUCGUUCCUACAAUGGUAUCAGUCAUAAUCCCAGCUACCCCGAAGUUUCUUGUGACAAGGAAAUGACACGGAUUCCCUGCCUCUCAGGCUAGUCCCUAGCAUUCUUAGGCCAGAGGGCUUCCUUGGAGGGAGUCUUGAGGGGGCCAUCAGAUCACCCUCCAGCCUGGUCCCCGCCUCUGCCACCCGACUUCGAGCAAGUGAGGACACCAGCCUUCACACUGUACCCUGACCCUGCUCCUCCAAACUCUGGAGGGGGUUUUGUCAAAGUAAAUGUCCCUAGGGGCUGACAGGGGUGGCCUUCACAGGCCCUCACAGGCCCUGGGCCACUCCCCAUCCCUCUGCAACAUUCACCGAGGAGCAGGAGGGCAGGGAGGUACUCACCAAGCCUGUUCAAGUAACUCCAGACGGCUGAACCAUGAUGACGAUGCCACUUGCCAUGUCCUCUCCAUCCCUUCAUCUGCUGGCCUCGGCUCAGGCCAUCCCCUGAGAUGACUGCACAAGGGCUCUUAGCCAAUGCUCAGAGGCGGAAUCAGAUGUCAUUGCCACCAUGCAAAUAUGAUCUUAACUUAGAGGAGGAACCUCCCUCCCCACACCUCGAAGAAAUCUGUGCCCAGAAUCAGCCAGAGCUUUUUGACCUAUUCGAAGAUUCAAGCUGUGAAUAUAGUCAGAGCCCCUCUAACAAGCACCAGACCAUUGAAACAUGGGAAUCGAGAGAGCCAUUCAAUGAAGGAAUAGUUGGGACAAAAAAAUAAAGACACUGCAAAGGGACGUGUCCAAGAUCCAAGAUUCCCUCAGAAGAAGCCACGAGGAGCAUUGUUUAAAUGGAUCAAAAGAAGAAGCAGGAUUAUUCUAAGGCACCUGUUUCUCUCAUUAAACCCUGUAUUGGUUAGCAAUUUCUGCAUAACAAAUUAUCCCCCAAACAUAGCAGUUUAAAACCAACGUUAAUUAUCUCACAUUGUUUCUGAGAUCAGGAUUUCGGGAAUAACUUAGUGGAGUGGUUCUAGCCCAGCAUCUUUCAUGAGGUUGCAAUCAAGGUUAGGCCAAGGCUGGGAUUUUCUUUUUACUUUUUUUUUUAAAAGAUUUUAUUUAUUUAUUUAUUCAUGAGAGACACAGGCAGAGGGAGAAGCAGGCUCCAUGCACGGAGCCCGACGUGGGACUCGAUCCCGGGUCUCCAGGAUCACACCAUGGGCCAAAGGCAGACACUGAAUCACUGAGCCACUCAGGGGUCCCAAGGCUGGGAUUUUCUUACGGCUGGAGCCUCUACUUCCAAGCUCAGUCAUGUGAUUGUUGGGAGGCCUCAGUCUCUCCCUGACUGUUGGCCAGAAACCUCAGUUCCUUGACACCUGGACUUUUCCACGGGGCUACCCAGUGUCCUCAAGACACGGAGAUGGUUUGCCCCAAGGCAAAUAAUAGAGGGGGAAAGAAUCCAUGAAGGAAGUUGUACUUUUUUAUAACCCAAUCUCAGAAGUGACAUGCAUAUUCUGUUGGUCACACAGGACUUCCUAGUGCAAUAUGUUAGGGGACGAAUCAAAGAUGUGAAUCCCAGAAGGUGGAGAGCAGUGAGAGGCUAUACUGGAGGCUGGUACCUCAGACUCCUCCUAGCUCUGUCCACCCUUCCUUGUCCAUACAACUCCUCCAUGUGCCAGGCUUUGGGCUAAGCACCAGUGAGAUAGCCAUGAACACAAUAGCUCGUUUCUUCUGCUUUGAAUUUCAUAUUUAAUGUAAAAAAUAGAUACUAGAUAAUGUAAUCACACAAAUAAAAGUACAAUUAAAAAUCUGUGGGGGCA
rnacentral:lncRNA from 12 species